rnacentral:rRNA from 1 species
AUGAACGCUGGCGGCGUGCCUAAUACAUGCCAGUCGAGCGAACAGAUAAGGAGCUUGCUCCUUUGACGUUAGCGGCGGACGGGUGAGUAACACGUGGGUAACCUACCUAUAAGACUGGAAUAACUCCGGGAAACCGGGGCUAAUGCAGGAUAACAUGUUGAACCGCAUGGUUCUACAGUGAAAGGCGGCUUUGCUGUCACUUAUAGAUGGACCCGCGCCGUAUUAGCUAGUUGGUGAGGUAACGGCUCACCAAGGCAACGAUACGUAGCCGACCUGAGAGGGUGAUCGGCCACACUGGAACUGAGACACGGUCCAGACUCCUACGGGAGGCAGCAGUAGGGAAUCUUCCGCAAAGGGCGAAAGCCUGACGGAGCAACGCCGCGUGAGUGAUGAAGGUCUUCGGAUCGUAAAACUCUGUUAUUAGGGAAGAACAAAUGCGUAAGUAACUGUGCGCGUCUUGACGGUACCUAAUCAGAAAGCCACGGCUAACUACGUG